AUGUUUGGUUUGUUCAUUCUGGGCAACCGUACAAACAUUGCAGUCCAACGUGGCAGCUUCCAUGGAAGAGGACCCGAACGUCUCAUUCUAAGAGGGACGAAUAGGGAUCGAAGAUGGAUGGCUUCAGGCUCUCCCCCCGAUGAACAUGAAAAUGCCUCGCUAGCAGAGCAGAUACAAGUCAGCAGGAUGUUGAUAUUAUUCCAACCCGGACAGGUCCAUACAGGGCACUGUUUUCAUCCACACACAAUAUUAAAUGCUGACAUGGAAACCAGCUGCUGAAACCCCAGAGUCAUCAGACUUUCUCUAAUGUGUCCCUGAAGAAUGAGAGCAAUUACUAACUUCCAGGGCUGCGUGAUGGAGGUAUUCGGAACAAAAGCUUCUUUGUUGGUAUAAAAUGGGAUUAAGUCUAAUCUUUCCUUGUUUAUCUAAAUAAACAUAUAAUAAAAUAGAAUAUGAACAGUGUGUAUAGAUAGAUUGGACUCAUCUUUUCAAUCAUGGUGGUCAUUUUCAAAAAGACAACAACUAAACAUAGUGGAGCAUUCAGCAGCUAAAGAGCCAGAUAUUUCCCUCAGGAGUUGGUGGAGACCAAAGAGGGGCUAAAAGAGAGUGAAUAUUAGACUAGAACAUUUAUUAAUGCAGGUUUGUGUGCAUGAACAAAAGCUCAAUACAUACAUUUCAGGAUCAAAUCUUUGAAUUAUUUCUUAUUAAUGUUAGUUUAUUAUUUCUUUCUUAUUAUUUCUUCAGUUUUAGCCUUAUAUCCACUCAUACAGUAAAAAUACAUGGAGGUGAUUUCUCAUUAUUAUUAUCUACAAUCUACAACUAAUUUACUUCUAUCACUGAUAGUAUAUUACACUAUUAGCCGUAGCAAAAUCAUUCAAAAUCCAGACUAGCCGGCUACAAAAUGUCCACAAAAACCAAAUGUUAUUCAAACCAUAUUUAUUUUUGAAGCAACAGCAGGCAAACAUCACUUUUACUUUAAAAGCAGACCAUGAUUUAAUGAGGCAAAAAUUAACUGAAGUUAUAACUGAUUUGUAUGAAGGCUGGUGAUUUAUCUAUCAAAUCAAGAAGUUAAGAUAAAACAUCUAUUUUAGGAUAUGGGCAACUCAGUGAGUUGUUUUUAUGUCAACAACAACCCAUAAAAACAAAGCUUGUGCAUUCAGGGACGGAGUCGUCCUUAAAGUGCAAAUGAGUAAACAUUUCAUUUCGACGAUCAAAGGUAGUAAUUUACUCUGCAUGUCCACAACACACUCAUGCACACACUCCAAUUAAGCUCUCUCUCUCUCUCUCUCUCUCUCUCUCUCUCUCACACACACACACACACACACACACAAACCAAGCAUCCUGUUCAUUAAUAUCCCUGUAGACACAAAUAAACAGAUUUUCCUGAAUAAUAGCAUGGAAAGAGAACAGUCCACAUUAACAUCUGUAGGCAGGAUAAAGUGUGGGCUUGUACAGUUGUGUUCACAUGCUGCAAUUUUUAUCAAAAGUACCCCCCCUAAAUAAUGAACAUUAACGUACAUGUAAACAUGCACUCUGUCUGUGGGAUCUAAUAUUGCCCUAUAGUAAACAGUGAGGCCCAUUUUUUAAAAACAAUAAAAAAGGAUAGAGGAGAACCACACGUAAAAAAAAAAGACAAAUUCAAAAAGAACAUUUAUUCAUGCCACAACAAAGAUUCAUGUACACUCUGUGGUGCCACAGAGGAGAAGAUAAAAGUGGAGCUGUCUGUAAUAGUUUCAUUGUCAAUUCCACGUAUGCCUUUAAAAACAGAAUUGGCAUCUUUCUUGUUGCUCAUGGUCUGAUUCAUAAAUAGAAUCCUUCAUAAACCACCAGUGGAUGAAAUUAUCUGGGACUGGUCCUAUUUGGUGGGAAAAAAUAGAUCCCCUGCUCACCAUCUGUGCCUGAAGGGGUCUAACGAGGCCUGAUAGAAGCAGUAAUCAGUUCAAUCAGCAGCUCAAACACUCCAUGUGUCGUCUGCAUGUGUCUGCAUCGGGCUGAGGCUUUUUCUCCAUACAGCUGCAGCAUCACUAUAUCAACACUUAUUGAAGCAUCAGCGCUGGAAAUUUAAAUUAAAACAGAUUCAGUGAUUUACUUACCACGAAUCGGCAUUUAUUUCAAAAUAUUUCCUGAAUAAAUGCCCAAAACUUUUUUAUGUGAAACUAAUCUCACUGCAUUUGAGUUAUUAUAACUAAAAACAUAUAUAUCAUAGCAAAAAUUACAGUUGAAAUUAAACUGAUCCUCAGCAGGAUAUUUAGUCACUUUGACUGAUUUAGACCUUUCACAGAAAUGGGGCAGAGAGAGCAGUAAAGUUGCCAGAGAGGCUGAACCAGCUGGGUAAAUGUACCUGGGGAAUGUGAGUUGGUAAAGCUUCCUCCUUCCUCAACUGCUACCGCUGAGGUGCCCUUGUGCAAGGCACUUAACCCCCCAGCUGCUCCAGUGGACAGUGGCAAAUAAUGGGAAGUGUCUUGGUGUGAGAGCAUAACACCUUAAGAACAUAAAGCACUGGAAAACAGCAAACAUGUUCAGCUAAACUUGAAUCGAUCCAUAAAUAAAUUCCUAGUGUCAGUACAACCACAGAGCUGCCUGUAUCUCAUAGCUGAGUUUCAGUAGUCAGAGCAUCCAGAGGGACGCACAACACAGUUACUUAUUUUAAAGUUAUUUUCAGAAACAUGUGGGUCACUGUAAGCAUCUGCCACAAUGACACCUGCUAAC
rnacentral:lncRNA from 15 species